rfam:Saccharicrinis fermentans DSM 9555 = JCM 21142 DNA, contig: JCM21142.contig00192.
UAUAGGGUGACCUAUGCAGUGAAGGAAGCCAAACGGCAAACUCCGGUACUGACGGACAGAAACCGCAUAUGAGGCUUUAUAAACCGGAUGAGCAAACACAUCAUUGUGACGUCCAAACGCCAAGGAGGCGAGUGUUUAUAAAGUAGAUGCGGCAGGCAUUGGAGGUUAUUGGU